GAAGCCUUAUCACCAUGACUGCUGUCAGCCUGGAUCGAUAUUUGAAAAUCCUACAUCUGCCUGGCAGCCAUCUGGGCCUAUGCUUCCUUCUGGACCACCAUGCCCUUGGUAGGUCUGGGGGACUACGUACCUGAGCCCUUCGGAACCUCGUGCACCCUGGACUGGUGGCUGGCCCAGGCCUCGGUAGGGGGCCAGGUUUUCAUCCUGAACAUCCUCUUCUUCUGCCUCUUGCUCCCAACGGCUGUGAUCGUGUUCUCCUACGUAAAGAUCAUUGCCAAGGUUAAGUCCUCUUCCAAA
rnacentral:lncRNA from 1 species